AGGUAAGCUACUAAGAGCGAAUGGUGGAUGCCUUGACUGGUAAAGGCGAUGAAGGACGUACUAGACUGCGAUAAGCUACGGGGAGCUGUCAAGAAGCUUUGAUCCGUAGAUUUCCGAAUGGGGCAACCCAAUGUAUAGAGAUAUACAUUACCUAUAUAGGAGCGAACGAGGGGAAUUGAAACAUCUUAGUACCCUCAGGAAAAGAAAUCAAUAGAGAUUGCGUCAGUAGCGGCGAGCGAAAGCGCAAGAGGGCAAACCCAGUGCUUGCACUGGGGGUUGUAGGACUGCAAUGUGCAAGAGGUGAGUUUAGCAGAACAUUCUGGAAAGUAUAGCCAUAGAGGGUGAUAGUCCCGUAUGCGAAAAACAAACCUUAGCUAGCAGUAUCCUGAGUAGGGCGGGACACGAGAAAUCCUGUCUGAAGCUGGGUCGACCACGAUCCAACCCUAAAUACUAAUACCAGAUCGAUAGUGCACAAGUACCGUGAGGGAAAGGUGAAAAGAACUGAGGUGAUCAGAGUGAAAUAGAACCUGAAACCAUUUGCUUACAAUCAUUCAGAGCCCUAUGUAGCAAUACAGGGUGAUGGACUGCCUUUUGCAUAAUGAGCCUGCGAGUUGUGGUGUCUGGCAAGGUUAAGCAAACGCGAAGCCGUAGCGAAAGCGAGUCUGAAUAGGGCGCUUAGUCAGAUGCUGCAGACCCGAAACGAAGUGAUCUAUCCAUGAGCAAGUUGAAGCUAGUGUAAGAACUAGUGGAGGACUGAACCCAUAGGCGUUGAAAAGCCCCGGGAUGACUUGUGGAUAGGGGUGAAAGGCCAAUCAAACUUCGUGAUAGCUGGUUCUCUCCGAAAUAUAUUUAGGUAUAGCGUUGUGUCGUAAUAUAAGGGGGUAGAGCACUGAAUGGGCUAGGGCAUACACCAAUGUACCAAACCCUAUCAAACUCCGAAUACCUUAUAUGUAAUCACAGCAGUCAGGCGGCGAGUGAUAAAAUCCGUCGUCAAGAGGGAAACAACCCAGACUACCAGCUAAGGUCCCUAAAUCUUACUUAAGUGGAAAACGAUGUGAAGUUACUUAAACAACCAGGAGGUUGGCUUAGAAGCAGCCAUCCUUUAAAGAAAGCGUAAUAGCUCACUGGUCUAGUGAUUUUGCGCGGAAAAUAUAACGGGGCUAAAGUAAGUACCGAAGCUGUAGACUUGCGCACAACUUAGAUUAUUUAAGUUUAGAAUAUGAGAAACUAAGUUAUAUGUUUAGUUAUAUUUUUACUGAUUUUUAUAGAGUAAAGAUAGAAAUAAAACUUAGUAAAAUCAGUAAAAAUAUUCUUAGACUAAAGUUAAGUAGUUUAAGUUGUGUGCAAGUGGUAGGAGAGCGUUCUAUUUGCGUCGAAGGUAUACCGGUAAGGAGUGCUGGAGCGAAUAGAAGUGAGCAUGCAGGCAUGAGUAGCGAUAAUUAAUGUGAGAAUCAUUAACGCCGUAAACCCAAGGUUUCCUACGCGAUGCUCGUCAUCGUAGGGUUAGUCGGGUCCUAAGUCGAGUCCGAAAGGGGUAGACGAUGGCAAAUUGGUUAAUAUUCCAAUACCAACAUUAGUGUGCGAUGGAAGGACGCUUAGGGCUAAGGGGGCUAGCGGAUGGAAGUGCUAGUCUAAGGUCGUAGGAGGUUAUACAGGCAAAUCCGUAUAACAAUACUCCGAGAACUGAAAGGCUUUUUGAAGUCUUCGGAUGGAUAGAAGAACCCCUGAUGCCAUCGAGCCAAGAAAAGUUUCUAAGUUUAGCUAAUGUUGCCCGUACCGUAAACCGACACAGGUGGGUGGGAUGAGUAUUCUAAGGCGCGUGGAAGAACUCUCUUUAAGGAACUCUGCAAAAUAGCACCGUAUCUUCGGUAUAAGGUGUGGUUCGCUUCGUAUUAGGAUUUACUCCGAAAGCGAAGAAACUUACAACAAAGAGUCCCUCCCGACUGUUUACCAAAAACACAGCACUCUGCUAACUCGUAAGAGGAUGUAUAGGGUGUGACGCCUGCCCGGUGCUCGAAGGUUAAUUGAUGGGGUUAGCAUUAGCGAAGCUCUUGAUCGAAGCCCGAGUAAACGGCGGCCGUAACUAUAACGGUCCUAAGGUAGCGAAAUUCCUUGUCGGUUAAAUACCGACCUGCAUGAAUGGCGUAACGAGAUGGGAGCUGUCUCAAAGAGGGAUCCAGUGAAAUUGUAGUGGAGGUGAAAAUUCCUCCUACCCGCGGCAAGACGGAAAGACCCCGUGGACCUUUACUACAGCUUGACACUGCUAUUUGGAUAAGAAUGUGCAGGAUAGGUGGGAGGCUUUGAGUAUAUGACGCCAGUUGUAUAUGAGCCAUUGUUGAGAUACCACUCUUUCUUAUUUGGGUAGCUAACCAGCUUGAGUUAUCCUCAAGUGGGACAAUGUCUGGUGGGUAGUUUGACUGGGGCGGUCGCCUCCCAAAUAAUAACGGAGGCUUACAAAGGUUGGCUCAGAACGGUUGGAAAUCGUUCGU
rnacentral:rRNA from 1 species